GAUAUCAAUAAGCGGAGGAAAAGAAACUAACAAGGAUUCCCCUAGUAACUGCGAGUGAAGCGGGAAAAGCUCAAAUUUAAAAUCUGGUGGUCUUUGGCCAUCCGAGUUGUAAUUUAGAGAAGUGUCUUUCGCGUCGGACCGUGCACAAGUCUCCUGGAAUGGAGCGUCAUAGAGGGUGAGAAUCCCGUCUUUGGCAUGGACUCCUGAUGCUUUUGUAAGGCGCUCUCAAAGAGUCGAGUUGUUUGGGAAUGCAGCUCAAAAUGGGUGGUGAACUCCAUCUAAAGCUAAAUAUUGGCGAGAGACCGAUAGCGAACAAGUACCGUGAGGGAAAGAUGAAAAGCACUUUGGAAAGAGAGUGAAACAGUACGUGAAAUUGUUGAAAGGGAAACACUUGAAGUCAGUCGCGUUGACCGAGACUCAGCCUUGCCUCGGCUUGGUGUACUUCUCGAUUGACGGGCCAGCAUCAAUUUUGUCCUUCGGAUAAUGGCAGGGGAAAGGUGGCACCCUUAUGGGUGUGUUAUAGUCUUCUGUCGCAUGCGAGGGGUGGGAUUGAGGAACUCAGCACGCGCCUUCGGGUGUCGGGGCUUCGGCUCACGUUACGUGCUUAGGAUGUUGGCGUAAUGGCUUUAAAUGACCCGUCUUGAAACACGGACCAAGGAGUCUAACAUGCCCGCGAGUGUUCGGGUGGAAAACCCGUACGCGUAAUGAAAGUGAAAGUUGGGACCUCUGUCGUGGAGGGCACCGACGCCCGGACCAGACCUUCUGUGACGGAUCUGCGGUAGAGCGUGCAUGUUGGGACCCGAAAGAUGGUGAACUAUGCCUGAAUAGGGUGAAGCCAGAGGAAACUCUGGUGGAGGCUCGUAGCGAUUCUGACGUGCAAAUCGAUCGUCAAAUUUGGGUAUAGGGGCGAAAGACUAAUCGAACCAUCUAGUAGCUGGUCU
rnacentral:rRNA from 2 species